UGGGGAAUAUUGCGCAAUGGGCGAAAGCCUGACGCAGCGACGCCGCGUGCGGGAUGAAGGCCUUCGGGUUGUAAACCGCUGUCGGGAGGGACGAAUCAAUGACGGUACCUCCAAAGGAAGCACCGGCUAACUCUGUGCCAGCAGCCGCGGUAAUACAGAGGGUGCGAGCGUUGUCCGGAAUUACUGGGCGUAAAGGGCGCGUAGGCGGUUCGGUAAGUAGGGGGUGAAAUGCUGCGGCUCAACCGCAGCCCUGCCUUCUAGACUGCCGGACUCGAGCACAGUAGAGGCAGGUGGAAUUCCCGGUGUAGCGGUGGAAUGCGUAGAGAUCGGGAAGAACAUCGGUGGCGAAGGCGGCCUGCUGGGCUGUUGCUGACGCUGAGGCGCGACAGCGUGGGGAGCA
rnacentral:rRNA from 1 species